UCCCUGGUGGCUCAGACGGUAAAGCAUCUGCUUGCAAUGUGGGAGACCUGGGUUCGAUCCCUUGGUGGGGAA
rfam:Ovis aries breed Texel chromosome 1, whole genome shotgun sequence.